UUAAGCGACUAAGCGUACACGGUGGAUGCCCUGGCAGUCAGAGGCGAUGAAGGACGUGCUAAUCUGCGAAAAGCGUCGGUAAGGUGAUAUGAACCGUUACAGCCGGCGAUGUCCGAAUGGGGAAACCCAGUGUGAUUCGUCACACUAUCGUUAACUGAAUACAUAGGUUAACGAGGCGAACCGGGGGAACUGAAACAUCUAAGUACCCCGAGGAAAAGAAAUCAACCGAGAUUCCCCCAGUAGCGGCGAGCGAACGGGGAGCAGCCCAGAGUCUGAAUCAGCUUGUGUGUUAGUGGAACGGUCUGGAAAGUCCGACGGUACAGGGUGAUAGUCCCGUACACCAAAAUGCACAGGCUGUGAACUCGAAGAGUAGGGCGGGACACGUGGUAUCCUGUCUGAAUAUGGGGGGACCAUCCUCCAAGGCUAAAUACUCCUGACUGACCGAUAGUGAACCAGUACCGUGAGGGAAAGGCGAAAAGAACCCCGGCGAGGGGAGUGAAAAAGAACCUGAAACCGUGUACGUACAAGCAGUGGGAGCACCUUCGGGUGUGACUGCGUACCUUUUGUAUAAUGGGUCAGCGACUUAUAUUCUGUAGCAAGGUUAACCGUAUAGGGGAGCCGCAGGGAAACCGAGUCUUAACUGGGCGUUAAGUUGCAGGGUAUAGACCCGAAACCCGGUGAUCUAGCCAUGGGCAGGUUGAAGGUUGGGUAACACUAACUGGAGGACCGAACCGACUAAUGUUGAAAAAUUAGCGGAUGACUUGUGGCUGGGGGUGAAAGGCCAAUCAAACCGGGAGAUAGCUGGUUCUCCCCGAAAGCUAUUUAGGUAGCGCCUCGUGAAUUCAUCUUCGGGGGUAGAGCACUGUUUCGGCUAGGGGGUCAUCCCGACUUACCAACCCGAUGCAAACUACGAAUACCGAAGAAUGUUAUCACGGGAGACACACGGCGGGUGCUAACGUCCGUCGUGAAGAGGGAAACAACCCAGACCGCCAGCUAAGGUCCCAAAGUCAUGGUUAAGUGGGAAACGAUGUGGGAAGGCACAGACAGCCAGGAUGUUGGCUUAGAAGCAGCCAUCAUUUAAAGAAAGCGUAAUAGCUCACUGGUCGAGUCGGCCUGCGCGGAAGAUGUAACGGGGCUAAACCAUGCACCGAAGCUGCGGCAGCGACACUAUGUGUUGUUGGGUAGGGGAGCGUUCUGUAAGCCUGCGAAGGUGACCUGUGAGGGUUGCUGGAGGUAUCAGAAGUGCGAAUGCUGACAUAAGUAACGAUAAAGCGGGUGAAAAGCCCGCUCGCCGGAAGACCAAGGGUUCCUGUCCAACGUUAAUCGGGGCAGGGUGAGUCGACCCCUAAGGCGAGGCCGAAAGGCGUAGUCGAUGGGAAACAGGUUAAUAUUCCUGUACUUGGUGUUACUGCGAAGGGGGGACGGAGAAGGCUAUGUUAGCCGGGCGACGGUUGUCCCGGUUUAAGCAUGUAGGCUGAUUAUCCAGGCAAAUCCGGAUAAUCAAGGCUGAGGUGUGAUGACGAGGCACUACGGUGCUGAAGUAACAAAUGCCCUGCUUCCAGGAAAAGCCUCUAAGCAUCAGGUAACAUCAAAUCGUACCCCAAACCGACACAGGUGGUCAGGUAGAGAAUACCAAGGCGCUUGAGAGAACUCGGGUGAAGGAACUAGGCAAAAUGGUGCCGUAACUUCGGGAGAAGGCACGCUGGUGUGUAGGUGAAGUCCCUGCGGAUGGAGCUGAGACCAGUCGAAGAUACCAGCUGGCUGCAACUGUUUAUUAAAAACACAGCACUGUGCAAACACGAAAGUGGACGUAUACGGUGUGACGCCUGCCCGGUGCCGGAAGGUUAAUUGAUGGGGUUAUCCGUAAGGAGAAGCUCUUGAUCGAAGCCCCGGUAAACGGCGGCCGUAACUAUAACGGUCCUAAGGUAGCGAAAUUCCUUGUCGGGUAAGUUCCGACCUGCACGAAUGGCGUAAUGAUGGCCAGGCUGUCUCCACCCGAGACUCAGUGAAAUUGAACUCGCUGUGAAGAUGCAGUGUACCCGCGGCAAGACGGAAAGACCCCGUGAACCUUUACUAUAGCUUGACACUGAACAUUGAGCCUUGAUGUGUAGGAUAGGUGGGAGGCUUUGAAGCGUGGACGCCAGUCUGCGUGGAGCCAACCUUGAAAUACCACCCUUUAAUGUUUGAUGUUCUAACGUUGGCCCCUGACCGGGGUUGCGGACAGUGUCUGGUGGGUAGUUUGACUGGGGCGGUCUCCUCCCAAAGCGUAACGGAGGAGCACGAAGGUUAGCUAAUCCUGGUCGGACAUCAGGAGGUUAGUGCAAUGGCAUAAGCUAGCUUGACUGCGAGCGUGACGGCGCGAGCAGGUGCGAAAGCAGGUCAUAGUGAUCCGGUGGUUCUGAAUGGAAGGGCCAUCGCUCAACGGAUAAAAGGUACUCCGGGGAUAACAGGCUGAUACCGCCCAAGAGUUCAUAUCGACGGCGGUGUUUGGCACCUCGAUGUCGGCUCAUCACAUCCUGGGGCUGAAGUAGGUCCCAAGGGUAUGGCUGUUCGCCAUUUAAAGUGGUACGCGAGCUGGGUUUAGAACGUCGUGAGACAGUUCGGUCCCUAUCUGCCGUGGGCGCUGGAGAAUUGAGGGGGGCUGCUCCUAGUACGAGAGGACCGGAGUGGACGCAUCACUGGUGUUCGGGUUGUCAUGCCAAUGGCACUGCCCGGUAGCUAAAUGCGGAAGAGAUAAGUGCUGAAAGCAUCUAAGCACGAAACUUGCCCCGAGAUGAGUUCUCCCUGAGACUUUAAGUCUCCUGAAGGAACGUUAAAGACGAUGACGUUGAUAGGCCGGGUGUGUAAGCGCAGCGAUGCGUUGAGCUAACCGGUACUAAUGAACCGUGAGGCUUAACCU
rnacentral:rRNA from 1 species